rnacentral:rRNA from 1 species
UACGAAGGGGGCUAGCGUUGUUCGGAAUUCCUGGGCGUAAAGCGCGCGCAGGCGGCUAUCCAAGUCAGUGGUGAAAGCCCGGAGCUCAACUCCGGAACUGCCAUUGAAACUGUUUAGCUUGAGGAUGAGAGAGGUGAGUGGAAUUCCCAGUGUAGAGGUGAAAUUCGUAGAUAUUGGGAAGAACACCGGUGGCGAAGGCGGCUCACUGGCUCAUUACUGACGCUCAGGCGCGAUAGCGUGGGGAUCAAACAGG